ACAAUGAAGAGUUUGAUCCUGGCUCAGGAUGAACGCUAGCGGCAGGCCUAACACAUGCAAGUCGAACGGUAACAUAGAGAAGCUUGCUUCUUUGAUGACGAGUGGCGCACGGGUGCGUAACGCGUAUACAAUCUACCUUUUACAGGGGGAUAGCCUUUAGAAAUGAAGAUUAAUACCCCAUAGUAUAUAUUAAUGGCAUCGUUAAUAUAUUAAAGUUUCGGCGGUAAAAGAUGAGUAUGCGUUCUAUUAGCUAGAUGGUGUGGUAACGGCACACCAUGGCAACGAUAGAUAGGGGCCCUGAGAGGGGGAUCCCCCACACUGGUACUGAGACACGGACCAGACUCCUACGGGAGGCAGCAGUGAGGAAUAUUG
rnacentral:rRNA from 1 species